rnacentral:rRNA from 1 species
AACGAACGCUGGCGGCAUGCCUAACACAUGCAAGUCGAACGAUGCCUUCGGGCAUAGUGGCGCACGGGUGCGUAACGCGUGGGAAUCUGCCUUUCGGUUCGGAAUAACUCAGGGAAACUUGAGCUAAUACCGGAUAACGUCGCAAGACCAAAGAUUUAUCACCGAAAGAUGAGCCCGCGUAGGAUUAGCUAGUUGGUGAGGUAAAGGCUCACCAAGGCGACGAUCCUUAGCUGGUCUGAGAGGAUGAUCAGCCACACUGGGACUGAGACACGGCCCAGACUCCUACGGGAGGCAGCAGUGGGGAAUAUUGGACAAUGGGCGAAAGCCUGAUCCAGCAAGGCCGCGUGAGUGAUGAAGGCCUUAGGGUUGUAAAGCUCUUUUACCCGGGAAGAUAAUGACGGUACCGGGAGAAUAAGCCCCGGCGAACUCCGU